rnacentral:Y_RNA from 1 species
AACAGGUCCAGUGGUAGUGGGUUAUGAGGUUUGUUAACAUUAGUGCACUAAAUUUAGUAUACAACCCCCCACUGCUAAAGUUUUUU